rnacentral:rRNA from 1 species
CAAUAGCGUAUAUUUAAGUUGUUGCAGUUAAAAAGCUCGUAGUCGGAUUUUGGCUGAGAACGGUCGGUCCGCCGUUAGGUGUGCACUGAUUGGUCUCAGCUUCCUGGUGAGGAGGUGUGCUUCACGGCCACUUAGUCACCGUGGUUACUUUGAAAAAAUUAGAGUGUUCAAAGCGGGCUUACGCUUGAAUAUAUUAGCAUGGAAUAACACCAUAGGACUCCUGUCCUAUUUCGUUGGUCUCGGGACGGGAGUAAUGAUUAAGAGGAACAGUUGGGGGCAUUCGUAUUUCAUUGUCAGAGGUGAAAUUCUUGGAUUUAUGAAAGACGAACUUCUGCGAAAGCAUUUGCCAAGGAUGUUUUCAUUGA